UACGUAGGGUGCAAGCGUUGUCCGGAAUUAUUGGGCGUAAAGCGCUCGUAGGCGGUCUGUCGCGUCUGCUGUGAAAACUCGGGGCUUAACCCCGAGCCUGCUUCCGAUACGGGCAGACUAGAGGUAUGCAGGGGAGAAUGGAAUUCCUGGUGUAGCGGUGAAAUGCGCAGAUAUCAGGAGGAACACCGGUGGCGAAGGCGGUUCUCUGGGCAUUACCUGACGCUGAGGAGCGAAAGUGUGGGGAGCGAACAGG
rnacentral:rRNA from 1 species